GAGGGGCAGCAUCAUCAAAGCUUGCUUUGAUGGAUGGCGACCGGCGCACGGGUGAGUAACACGUAUCCAACCUGCCGACAACACUGGGAUAGCCUUUCGAAAGAAAGAUUAAUACCGGAUGGUAUAGUUUUCCCGCAUGGGAUGAUUAUUAAAGAAUUUCGGUUGUCGAUGGGGAUGCGUUCCAUUAGGCAGUUGGCGGGGUAACGGCCCACCAAACCUACGAUGGAUAGGGGUUCUGAGAGGAAGGUCCCCCACAUUGGAACUGAGACACGGUCCAAACUCCUACGGGAGGCAGCAGUGAGGAAUAUUGGUCAAUGGACGAGAGUCUGAACCAGCCAAGUAGCGUGAAGGAUGACUGCCCUAUGGGUUGUAAACUUCUUUUAUACGGGAAUAAAGUGAGCCACGUGUGGCUUUUUGUAUGUACCGUAUGAAUAAGGAUCGGCUAACUCCGUGCCAGCAGCCGCGGUAAUACGGAGGAUCCGAGCGUUAUCCGGAUUUAUUGGGUUUAAAGGGAGCGUAGGCGGGUUGUUAAGUCAGUUGUGAAAGUUUGCGGCUCAACCGUAAAAUUGCAGUUGAUACUGGCGACCUUGAGUGCAACAGAGGUAGGCGGAAUUCGUGGUGUAGCGGUGAAAUGCUUAGAUAUCACGAAGAACUCCGAUUGCGAAGGCAGCUUACUGGAUUG
rnacentral:rRNA from 1 species